rnacentral:tRNA from 1 species
GGCCCCGUAGUUCAAUGGAUAGAAUAGAAGUUUCCUAAACUUUAGAUGCAAGUUCGAUUCUUGCCGGGGUCACAA